GUUCGACCAAAAAAGGGACAUCCAUCAGCCAGUUACGUUUGACUAUUAAUAUAUAUGAUUCUCUAUUCUUACUAUAACAGUCAUUUCUAUCGGUAUUUUGAUUCUUAUUGGCAAAUUCAUUUAAAACUUAAAAAUGAUCUGUCAUGGAAUAUUACGAAACUUGUGGAGAGUAUAUAUUUUGUGUUUUUGUUUGUUUGUUUGUGUGUGUGUGUGCACGUGCACGCUCAUGAGAUUUGGAACAUAAAAAAAAAAUUGAAGUUUAUUUCUUUCCAUCCAGUGUUUGAAUAAGCAAUAGGGGAUUCCAUUGCUUAUCAUAAGACACUCAUACUCUUGGUGACACACUAGUGGAAGAUAGAAUUCAAUAAGCUGAAUGCAGAUUUCUCCUAGAAAAACAGGUAUGAAACCCAAGAAUUGAACCAGGAUCCUUUGGAAGCAGAGCAUUCUUCCACUGCAGCCAUCUGGCUAAUUCAUGGAGAGUAUUUUCAUAAUUGGUUUCUUUGCCAAUAAUUUUCUUCUUUCAUUUAUAAGUAGAUUCUCAAAACAGCACAUACUCUAAGGACUACAAAAUCAUAAUUCUGGUUCUGAAUACAAUUGUAUACUUAAAAUUUGAUACCUAAAAGCCAUUUCAUAUUGAAUUGAAACAGCAGGAUUCAAAUAAUAAAACACAAUAAGCAUUGACAUGAUGAUACUGAUUUGACAAAUGUUU
rnacentral:lncRNA from 1 species